GGCCCAGUGGUGAAGGGGUAACACGGCGAUCUGCAAAAUCGCUACUGCGCGGGUUCGAGUCCCGCCUGGGCCU
rnacentral:tRNA from 1 species